rnacentral:rRNA from 1 species
CAUAGACCUCGGAUCAGGUAGGGAUACCCGCUGA